AGAAAAAGAAGGAAAAGUGGAUAAGAAGAAGAGAAAGAAAGAAAAACCAGUAAAGAAAGAAACAAAAGAAAGAAGAGGAAGGAAAGAAGCCACCACCACCACCAUCAUGUCAUCUUCAUCUUCAUCAUCAUCAUCACCAUUUUCUACUCAUGAUCUUCACCAUCUUCAAGUGUUAGAGGUAUUCCUUGCAGGUUGAAUCUAAGAGAAGUUGUCUAUGGAUGUUUCAAGGGACACAAUUAUUCUGAUCUUCCGCUGUGGAGUUGUGUGCAAUGAAGAUAUUGCACAUAGUUCUUAGAUUUUUAUUGUUUAGGCAUUAUUGUAUAACAUGUUCCAUUGAUGUUUUCAUAUUCGGACAUGUAUAUAUAUUGAUGCCAUUAGGCACUUAUGUUGGAUCAGUACCAAUUACUAACACUUGUAUGAUAUUAUUCUAGGUAUAUAUUAUAUGGGUUGUUACAUGCA